AUGAAACAGCACUUCACGACAGAAUGUGUUGUUAUUCAACGGAUAUCAUCAUUCAACAUUUUCAUGCAUUUCUAUGCCUUCCUGAUGGAGUUGCAUGUUAUAUUUGAUCACGGUUCCCCUUCCACUUGUGUUUUCCACGUGUUUGUUAGCAUUUGUAAUCUAAGUCACAUUGUUCUCUCCAAUUUAAGUGUAUAUGAGUAUGUAUAA